UAGGGUGCCUCAGGUAACUAGACCUUCUGCUAAAAUAUGGGGGUAAAACCCUAACCCUGU
rnacentral:tRNA from 1 species